rnacentral:rRNA from 1 species
UUGAACGCUGGCGGCAGGCUUAACACAUGCAAGUCGAGCGGUAACAGAGAGAAGCUUGCUUCUCUGCUGACGAGCGGCGGACGGGUGAGUAAUGCCUAGGAAUCUGCCUAGUAGUGGGGGAUAACUUGCCGAAAGGUAAGCUAAUACCGCAUACGUCCUACGGGAGAAAGGAGGGGACCUUCGGGCCUUUCGCUAUUAGAUGAGCCUAGGUCGGAUUAGUUAGUUGGUGAGGUAAUGGCUCACCAAGACCGCGAUCCGUAACUGGUCUGAGAGGAUGAUCAGUCACACUGGAACUGAGACACGGUCCAGACUCCUACGGGAGGCAGCAGUGGGGAAUAUUGGACAAUGGGGGGAACCCUGAUCCAGCCAUGCCGCGUGUGUGAAGAAGGUCUUAGGAUUGUAAAGCACUUUAAGUUGGGAGGAAGAGCAGUUAACUAAUAUUUGACUGUUUUGACGUUACCGACAGAAUAAGCACCGGCUAACUUCGUG